UGGGGAAUAUUGGACAAUGGGCGAAAGCCUGAUCCAGCCAUGCCGCGUGGAUGAAGAAGGCCCUAGGGUUGUAAAGUCCUUUCGGUGGUGAAGAUAAUGACGGUAACCACAUAAGAAGCCCCGGCUAAUUUCGUGCCAGCAGCCGCGGUAAUACGAAAGGGGCUAGCGUUGUUCGGAAUUACUGGGCGUAAAGCGCACGUGGGCGGCCUUGUAAGUUGGGGGUGAAAUCCCAGGGCUCAACCCUGGAACUGCCUUCAAGACUGCAAAGCUAGAGGACGCGAGAGGUUAGCGGAAUUCCGAGUGUAGAGGUGAAAUUCGUAGAUAUUCGGAAGAACACCAGUGGCGAAGGCGGCUAACUGGUGCGUAUCUGACGCUGAGGUGCGAAAGCGUGGGGAGCAAACAGGAUUAGAUACCCAAGUAGUCCCUGAGCGGGCUGGCAAGGCGCAU
rnacentral:rRNA from 1 species